UGUCUUUUCCGCUUGACUGCCGAGCAAGGGCCGAUGAUCAAGUUGAAACCCCGGCAAUCUAGAGGAAGAGACAGA
rnacentral:pre_miRNA from 1 species